rnacentral:rRNA from 1 species
UCCGGAGAGCAUGUCUGUUUGAGUGUCAUGAACUCUUCAACCUACCGGUUUCUAGUGAAUCGGAUUAGUGUUUGGAUUCUGAACGCCUGCUGGCCUUUAUUGGCGAAGCUCGUUCGUAAAUGAUUAGCAUCUCAUAUUCGAAAAUCGGAUUGACUCAGUGUAAUAGACUAUUCGCUGAGGACGCUCUUUCGGGAGUGGCCGAGUUUUGUAAAGUAGAAGCUUCUAAUUCUAUUAGUCAACUUUAGAUUAGACCUCAGAUCAGGCAGGAUUACCCGCUGAACUUAAGCAUAUCAAUAAGCGGAGGAAAAGAAACUAACAAGGAUUCCCCUAGUAACGGCGAGUGAAGCGGGAAGAGCUCAAAUUUGUAAUCUGGCACUUUCAGUGUCCGAGUUGUAAUCUCGAGAAGUGUUUUCCGCGCCGGACCGCAUACAAGUCUGUUGGAAUACAGCGUCAUAGUGGUGAGAACCCCGUAACUGAUGCGGAUGCCCGGUGCUUUGUGAUACACUUUCGAAGAGUCGAGUUGUUUGGGAAUGCAGCUCAAAUUGGGUGGUAAAUUCCAUCUAAAGCUAAAUAUUGGCGAGAGACCGAUAGCGAACAAGUACCGUGAGGGAAAGAUGAAAAGCACUUUGGAAAGAGAGUUAACAGUACGUGAAAUUGUUGGAAGGGAAACGAUUGAAGUCAGACUUGUUAUCUGGAGUUCAGCCUUUCGGUGUACUCUCCAGUUUACAGGCCAGCAUCAGUUUUCGGGGCGGGAAAAUCGUAAUUAGAAGGUAGCAGCCUAGCUGUGUUAUAGCUCUUUACUGGAUUCCGCUUUGGGGACUGAGGAACGCAGUGUGCUUUUAGCAAUACCCUCGGGUAUUCACACUAG